rnacentral:lncRNA from 1 species
AAAAAAAAGAGAAUCACUGCUUAUCUUAGUCUGUUCAGGUAGCUGUAACAAAAUACCAUACCUGGGUGACUUACAAGUAAUAGAAAUGUUAUUUCUCACAUUUCUGGAGUCUGGGAAGCCCAAGAUCAAGGUGCUAGCAGAUUUGGUGUCUGGUAUCUACUGACCUGGUUAUUGCUUCUUCCUUUAAGGAGUAUUAGAACACUGCUGGGGAUGGGCUGACAAACAUACCAGGUAUUGAUGCAUACAGUCCCCUGAAAGGUCUCAUCUGAUUAGGGACAUUUAUUCUGAGAACCAGGUCUCAGAAUUCUCUUUUGGAUGCAUCAAAGUCCAACCGAUUCUGAAAGCCAGCUUGGUGCUACUCUUGUGCACAAGUAUGCUUCUCAGAGAAGGUGGAUUCUACCUUGGAAGGAAAUGAGUCGUUUCCUCCCAUCAGGACAACUGCCACAGCAUGGUGUCAACUCACUCUUGCCUUUCGUAAAUUGAGUUUGUCAGUGCUCAGCGACACAGCUGAGUGAAAUGUUGUGUGAUGCGGGCUGUCUCCUGGGAGAGAGAAACUGGCAUAAACCACAUCCUAAUGGGAUCCAGAAACA